rnacentral:lncRNA from 1 species
AAGAGCUGUGGGCCUCGGAAGCCCAGGCUAUCACAGAAUCUUGUCCUACAUCUUGAUGGCAAGUUUGGAGUCCUAGGCACCACGCAGUGGCGCCCAGUUCUGGCAUUUGCGUAACUCUCGAUGCCAAAGUUUAGGACACGUCCCUCCAGGAUCUUCCAGAUGUAUAUUAUGGCAUAUCUUUCCCGCCUACGCUCCAAGGAAUAUAGUUUUAAUCUCUUGAGUCUUUCCCAGUAGCUCACAUUAUGCAUAGAGGCUAUCUUCUUCGUGUAGCUACGUUGGANNNNNNNNNNNNNNNNNNNNNNNNNNNNNNNNNNNNNNNNNNNNNNNNNNNNNNNNNNNNNNNNNNNNNNNNNNNNNNNNNNNNNNNNNNNNNNNNNNNNUCGUCUUAAACUAAGUUUGGUAUAUGCUUAGUAUAUUGGGGACGUGUGGCUUUAUGGUAAGGCCAUCCAUCGUCUUAAACUAAGUUUGGUAUAUGCUUAGUAUAUUGGGGACGUGUGGCUUUAUGAUAAGGCCAUCCAUUGUCUUAAACUAAGUUUGGUAUAUGCUUAGUAUAUUGGGGACGCGUAGCUUUAUGAUAAGGCCAUCCAUCGUCUUAAACUAAGUUUGGUAUAUGCUUAGUAUAUUGGGGACAUGUGGCUUUAUGAUAAGGUCUUCCAUCGUCUUAAACUAAGUUUGGUAUAUGCUUAGUAUAUUGGGGACGCGUGGCUUUAUGGUAAGACCAUCCAUCGUCUUAAACUAAGUUUGGUAUAUGCUUAGUAUAUUGGGGACGUGUGGCUUUAUGAUAAGGCCAUCCAUCGUCUUAAACUAAGUUUGGUAUAUGCUUAGUAUAUUGGGGACGCGUGGCUUUAUGAUAAGGCCAUCCAUCGUCUUAAACUAAGUUUGGUAUAUGCUUAGUAUAUUGGGGACGUGUGGCUUUAUGGUAAGGCCAUCCAUCGUCUUAAACUAAGUUUGGUAUAUGCUUGGUAUAUUGGGGACGUGUGGCUUUAUGGUAAGGCCAUCCAUCGUCUUAAACUAAGUUUGGUAUAUGCUUAGUAUAUUGGGGACGCGUGGCUUUAUGGUAAGGCCAUCCAUCGUCUUAAACUAAGUUUGGUAUAUGCUUAGUAUAUUGGGGACGUGUGGCUUUAUGAUAAGGCCAUCCAUCGUCUUAAACUAAGUUUGGUAUAUGCUUAGUAUAUUGGGGACGUGUGGCUUUAUGGUAAGGGAUGUUGCACUCAUGAUGGCAGAAUUGUGACUUCGAUAUCUUGACUGAGCAAUGGGUUGUGUUCUUGAGCAGAAUACUUCAUUUCACGUUGCUCCAGUUUACUCAGCUUGCAAAACUGGGUUAUACUGCGAUGGACUGGCAUCCCGUCCAGGUGGGGGUAUAUACAUAUAUAUAUAUAAAAUAAUAUGUUACAUUAUUCGAUAGUCAAGAUAAAACUCUGAGUCUCAGAUGCCGAAAUGGGAAUCCACAAUGCCAUCUCUUCGGCGUUGUGGAUUCCCACUUCGGCAUCUGAAACUCAGAGUUUUAUCUCGACUAUCAAGUAAUGUAACAUAUUAUUUUAUAGAUAAAUUUCCUCUAUUUACAUAAUAUUGAGGUCUCUUUCUUUCUUUUGUUAUCUUACCGUUUUACCAAUAAAUCACCUCCCGGACGACGUUAUUCUCAACUAAGAGCUAAUACGGCCUUUUUGGAUUAUCGCCUAACAUCGGUUGAGGACUCUUACACACAUAAGAAUUUAAUAUGGAUGCAUAUUACAUAGAUUAUUCUACGAAAAACCGAAGAGAUGGCGUUGUGGAUUCCCACUUCGGCAUCUGAGACUCAGAGUUUUAUCUUGACUACCGAGUAAUGUAACAUAUUAUUUUAUAGAUAAAUUUCCUCUAUUUACAUAAUAUUGAGGUCUCUUUCUUUCUUUUGUUAUCUUACCGUUUUACCAAUAUACAUAUAUAUAUAUAUAUAUAUAUAUAUAUAUAGUGGUUGUAUACUGUCAACAUAGCGUGACAGUCCCGUAAGGGAAUUACACCACCGCUGUUUAGCCCUAGGAAGCAUCGACGCUUCCUCUCGGCUUUGACACAUUUCCUGUGUCAUAUCUGCAAAGGGGAGGCAAGCACCCCCACCAGCUAGGAAUCACACCUGAAGACAUGCAUGUUUCUGGGUCUUAACCCGUCAUCAGUCCGGGAUAGUGAGCCCUGCUAGCUGAGAUGCCUGUCUAGCCUUCGCAAAUAUAUAUAUAUUUACAGUGAAAUCUAUUCACUGGUCACCGUAAUUAGAAAUAUUGAAUUUCUAAAUGUCUCACGCCACACAGUUCUGGAAACUGGUUUAAUGUGUAUAUGGCUCUGGAAGAACCUUUCCUGUUGGGUGUAUACAAUGUAAAGAAUGUUAAACUUUUACCUUAGUGAAAUACACCUUCGCCAUUCAAAAAUGUAUAAAGACUCUUAACAUCACUUACACAUACUAUUUCGUGUCAAAAUUUGAUACUAAACAGUAUUUGAGAUGCAGUGGAAUCGCGUCAGUGACCAGGUCACAUUUGGCGUGACGAAAAUUUUGGCACUAAAUACUAAAUGCUUAAACAGAAGUUAACAGUUCUUAGUAUUUUUUUAAAUAGGACAAGUGAGUCCAUAACCCGUGGCCUUCUACAUGGGAUGGAGCCAGCCUACGUAUGCAUACCUUCCCUUCUUGGGACACAAAACUCUACUUGUGAAGACGUGUUGAGGCAAGUGAGGAUCAGAAUCGAAAUCGAUCAAUGGAAAUUGCGGAUGUGUUACCAGUGCCGGUGGCAUGUAAGAGAACUUUCCGUUUCGCGACCGUUGCCAGCACCGCCCCGUUUCAUGUCCUUUGCCAGCCUCGCCUGGCCCUCGUGCCGGUGGCACAUAAGAAGCACCAUCCGUUCGUGGCCGUUUGCCAGCUCUGUCUGGCACCUGUGCGGGUGGCACGUAAAAAGCACCCACUACACUCACGGAGUGGUUGGCGUUAGGAAGGGCAUCCAGCCGUAGAAACACUGCCAGAUUUGACUGGGCCUGAUGAAGCCUUCUGGCUUCACAGACCCCAGUAGAACCGUCCAACCCAUGCUAGCAUGGAAAACGGACGCUAAACGAUGAUGAUGAUGAUGAUGAUGACAAAUAUGCGUUUUCCAGAUGGAGGCACUGGUGGCAGAAACGCUAGCAAGCCGGACAAAAUGCUAAGCGACAUUCCGUUCGCCUUUGCGUUUUGAGUUCAAAUACCGUGACGGGAUCGACUUUGCCUUUCGUCCUUUCAGGGUCGAUAAAAUAAGUAGCACUUGAGCACUGGGGCCGAUGUAAUCGACUUAACCCCUCCUCCGCAAUUGCUGGCCUUAUGCCAAAAUUUGGGGUCCAUUGUUAUAUAAAGUGUGGAAGCACUCUGUCGGUUACGACGCCGAGGGUUCCGGUUGAUCCGAAUCAACGGAACAGCCUGCUCGUGAAAUUAACGUGUAAGUGGCUGAGCACUCCACAGACACGUGCACCCUUAACGUAGUUCUCGGGGAUAUUUAGCGUGACACAGAGAGUGACAAGGCCGGCCCUUUGAAAUACAGGUACAACAGAAACAGGAAGUAAGAGUGAGAGAAAGUUGUGGUGAAAGAGUACAGCAGGGAUCACCACCAUCCCCAGCCGGAGCCUCGUGGAGCUUUAGGUGUUUUCGCUCAAUAAACACUCACAACGUCCGGUCUGGGAAUCGAAACCGCGAUCCUAUGACCGCGAGUCCGCUGCCCUAACCACCGGGCCAUUGCGCCUCCACAAUAUAUAUAUAUAUAUAUAAAGUAAACAGCAUAUCACCUCAGACUGCUGUUGCUUUUUAAAUAUUGUGCUCUUAGGCGUAGGCGUGGCUGAUUGGUGAGAAACUUGCUUCCUAACCACGUGGUUUCGGGUUCGAUCCCCAUGGGUAAGUGUCUCUUCUCUUGUAGCCCUCAGACCGAACAAACCCUUGUGAGUGGGUUUGGCAGGCGGAAAUUGAAAGGAGCCUGUCGUGUAUGUGUCUUUGUGUCUGUGUUUUGUGCCCUAUCAUCCCGUGACUUAGCGAUACUGCAAAAGACACCGAUAGGUUUUUUUCGGUUUGAACGGCAGUUUUUUCUAGCGGUGUCAUAUGAAAUUGUCACCCAUAAUUAUGAACGUAGUAUCGAUGUAUUGCAUUUCUAUCUACUUUAGGGUUAGGGUUAGGGGUGGGGAGAAGGAUAUCUUUUUUUUCUUCACAAAUGUAAAUAAACCCAAUCUGUUUCUUAAACGAGGGACAUAUUCAAACGGUACAGAAUGCUUUUUACCUCAAUAGACGUCACUGAUUGGUUGAAAUUUCAGAAAUUGAAGAAAAAAAACAGCAAAUAUCUUACAAACUAUAGAAUUUUCUCAAUAAAACCAAGAGAAAAAGAUGUUUUAUAAACACAUUCUACCAGUAUACGAAGUUUAAAAGUGUUUACGUGGAAAUUAUUUUUAAAAACUGCCGUUCAAACCGAAAAGAUCCAUGAAAUGUACUGGGAUCGAUUCUUUCGACUAAAAAUUCUUCAAGGAGUGUCCCAGUAUGGCUGUAGUCCAAUGACUGAAACAAGUAAAAGGUGAAACGAUUAAAAUACUAGAUGCAAGAAGCGUGAGUGAAUAUUCAAUGAAUUUUUUAUUUUCAUCAUCAUCAUCAUCAUCGUUUAACGUCCGUUCUCCAUGCUAGCAUGGGUGGGACGGUUCGACCGGGGAUCUGGGAAGCCAGAAGGCUGCACCAGGCUCCAGUCUUAUCUGGCAAUGUUUCUACAGCUGGAUGCCCUUCCUAACGCCAACCACUCCGUGAGUGUAGUGGGUGCUUUUUACAUGCCACCUGCACAGGUGCCAGGCGAGGCUGGCAACGGCCACGGUCGGAUUGGUGUAUUUUAUGUGCCACCGGCACGGAAGCCAGUCGAGGCGGUGCUGGCGUCGGCCACGAGUCGGAUAGUGCUUUUUACGUACCACCAGACCAGGGAUCCUGGCUGGUUCAAUUCGAUUUCGUUUUCGCUUUCGCUUGCCCCAACAUGUCUUCGCAAGCAAAGGGGGUUGGCAUGGGUGCCUGUCGUCGGAUGAGGUUCUAUAUCGACUUCGCUUGCCUCAACAGGUCUUUGUGUCCAAGGGAGGAAAGGCAUUCAUAAGUGGGCUGGGCUCACUUGUCCUGCCUGGUCUUCUCACGUACAGCAUAUUUCCAAAGGUCUCGGUCGCUGGUCAUUUCCUCAGUGAGGCCUAAAGGUCGUGCUUCCCACCUCGUCCCAGGUCUACCUCUUCCACGGGUUCCCUCAACUGCUAGGGAUUGGCACUUUCUCACACACCUAUCUUCAUCCAUUCUCGCCACAUGACCAUACCAGCGCAAUCGUCUCUCUUGCACACCACAACUGAUGCUUCUUAGGUACAACAUUUCUCUCAAGGUACUAACGCUCUGUCGAGUAUGUACACUGACAUUACACAUCCAUCGGAGCAUACUGGCUUCAUUCCUCACGAGCUUAUGCAUGUCCUCAGCAGUCACGGCCCAUGUUUCACUGCCAUGUAGCAUGGCUGUUCGUACACAUGCAUCAUACAGUCUGCCUUUUACUCUGAGCGAGAGGCCUUUUGUCACCAGCAGAGGUAAGAACUCCCACGGGAAUAUAAUUAGGUUUAAACACGUUUUGAACUUCUGACAAUGCUAUCUCUCCAUGACGUGACUAAUUCUGAGUACUUCUUCUCAAUGAGGUUACAGCAAAGAAUGUCAUAUGAUUCAUCUAAAUAUGAUUCAUCUAAAUACAGAACUUAGAAAAACUAAUUUACAUGUAACUUUUUUCAAAUAAUACAAUCUCUUAAUGACAUGAUACUAAAUAUAACACAACGUUUACCCUACCACAACUUUGCUUUUUAUCGCAUUUUACCUACCACUAAUUUUUUUGUUAGUAAUAAACACAGUUAUACACACACACACACACAUACACACACACACACACACACACACACACACAUAUAUAUAUAUAGUCGCCAUGAUAGAUCGUUAGCCACUACACACAUUUUUUUCUCUCCUUGUUUUUUCUGUGUCCCUUUCUGUAGAAGAGCGUAGGCUCGAAACGUAAAAGACUUUUUCUAUUCCUGAGCGUUAUACUAAUACAUCUGUUUGUUUUGUACACCACAUGUCUUCGUCUUUUGUUUUUUCGUAAACUCUCCCUAUAUAUAUAUAUAUAUAAAUAUAGGGAUGGUAUUAUUAAAAUACCAUCACAAGUGGUAAGCGAAUUAUCAGCCGUACAGGCAAAUUAAUAAAAUAUAUACAUACAGUAUUAGAUAUGUACAUAUAUACACAAGGGUACUACAUGAGUACCUAAAUCGCUAAUGAUAGAAGUCAAAAAAUACUUCUGUACCACCGAAUAGUCACAAAUUCAUUACAGACAAGAUAGGAAAAAAUAUCAGUUAUAAAUAAAUAAAUAAAUAAAUAAAUAUAUAUAUAUAUAUAUAUAUAUAUAUAUAUAUAUAUAUAUAGGCGCAGGAGUGGCUGUGUGGUAAGUAGCUUGCUAAGCAACCACAUGGUUCCAGGUUCAGUCCCACUGCGUGGCAUCUUGGGCAAGUGUCUUCUACUAUAGCCUCGGGCCGACCAAAGCCUUGUGAGUGGAUUUGGUAGACGGAAACUGAAAGAAGCCUGUCGUAUCUAUAUAUUUGUGUGUCUGUGUUUGUCCCCCCAACAUCCUUUGACAACCGAUUCUGGUGUGUUUACGUCCCCGUCACUUAGCGGUUCGGCAAAAGAGACCGAUAGAAUAAGUACUAGGCUUACAAAGAAUAAGUCCCGGAGUCGAUUUGCUCGACUAAAGGCGGUGCUCCAGCAUGGCCGCAGUCAAAUGACUGAAACAUGUAAAAGAGUAAAAGAGAAUAUUAAUAGUGACUUGGGUUUUUUUGAGAGUAUAUGAUUUUGAUUUGAUUUUUCCAGUUUCAGCUAAUGAGCUGUGGCCAUGCUGGGGCACCGCCAUAUGUAUAUGCAUAUCAUCUAAAUUAUAUAUAUGCAUAUCAUCUAAAUUUCUAACCGCUGGUUUUUAUCUUGUUUUCUACUGCCUUUUCGUCUUUAUCAUUUCGGUUGGGGUUUUUUUCUGUGGCGGGAAGUUGGCGGUGGGGGGGGGGAGCUUUUAUCAUUUGAUAAUGGCUCUCUGCGCGUUACAAAUACAUUCAUACAAGCGUUAAGCCUAUUGCAUUUGUUAAAUUUUGUCCUUCCUGUAUCGUCUUUUGUUCAUCGUGUCAUGUCUUAGCGAAGACAUGACACGAUGUAGGUAAAGAAAUUUGAAAAGAAUAUACGAAUAUACGAAACAGGUUAUUUCUCAAAAAACUAUGUUACUAUACACAAAAUUUUAUAACAAUUUUCUAACAUAACGACUUAAAUAUAUUUAUUAACCUUAUAAUACAAGCCUUCUGUAGAUUUUUCGUUCUUUUUUACUUCUUAUACAUCCAACCACGUGCUUUCACACAACAACUCUCUCACCCAUAUAUCUCUUUAUCUCUUUUAUCUCUUUUACUUGUUUCAGUCAUUUGACUGUGGCCAUGCUGGAGCACCGCCUUUAAUCGAGCAACUCGACCCCGGGUCUUAUUCUUUGUAAGCCCAGUACUUAUUCUAUCGGUCUCUUUUGCCGAACCGCUAAGUGACGCGGACAUAAACACACCAGCAUCGGUUGUCAAGCAAUGCUAGGGGGACAAACACAGACACACAAACACACACACAUACAUAUACAUACAUAUAAACGACGGGCUUCUUUCAGUUUCCGUCUACCAAAUCCACUCACAAGGCAUUGGUCGGCCCGAGGCUAUAGUAGAAGACAAUUGCCCAAGAUGCCACGCAGUGGGACUGAACCCGGAACCAUGUGGUUGGUAAGCAAGCUACUUACCACACAGCCACUCAUGCGCCUAUCAUCAUCAUCAUCAUCAUCGUUUAACGUCCGCUUUCCAUGCUAGCAUGGGUUGGACGGUUCAACUGGGGUCUGGCAAGCCCGAAGGCUGCACCAGGCUCCAGUCAGAUCUGGCAGUGUUUCUACAGCUGGAUGCCCUUCCUAACGCCAACCACUCCGAGAGUGUAGUGGGUGAUUUUAUGUGCCACUGACACAGGUGCCAGACGAGGCUGGCAGACGGCCACGCUCGGAUGGUGUUUUUAUGUGCCACCGACACAGGUGCCAGACGAGGCUGGCAGACGGCCACGCUCGGAUGGUGUUUUUUAUGUGCCACCGACACAGGUGCCAGACGAGGCUGGCGAACGGCUACGAUCGGAUGGUGUUUGUUACGUGCCCACAGCAUGGGGCCAGUCGAUGCGGUACUGGCUACGGUCCCGUUCAGAUGGUUUUCUUAUGUGCCACCGGCACUGGUACCACAAGGAUACAAAUUCCAUUGAUGUUCAUCUAUUGAUUUGAUUCGAUUUGACUAUAUAUAUAUAUAGCCUAUAUAUAUAUAUAUAUAUAUAUAUAUAUAUAUAUAUAUAUAUAUAUAUAUAUAUAUAUAUAUAUAUAUAUAUAUAUAUAUAUAUAUAUAUAUAUAUAUAUAUAUAUAUAUAUAUAUAUAUAUAUAUAUAUAUAUAUAUAUAUAUAUAUAUAUAUAUAUAUAUAUAUAUAUAUAUAUAUAUAUAUAUAUAUAUAUAUAUAUAUAUAUAUAUAUAUAUAUAUAUAUAUAUAUAUAUAUAUAUAUAUAUAUAUAUAUAUAUAUAUAUAUAUAUAUAUAUAUAUAUAUAUAUAUAUAUAUAUAUAAUAUAUAUAUAUAUAUAUAUAUAUAUAUAUAUAUAUAUAUAUAUAUAUAUAUAUAUAUAUAUAUAUAUAUAUAUAUAUAUAUAUAUAUAUAUAUAUAUAUAUAUAUAUAUAUAUUAUAUAUAUAUAUAUAUAUAUAUAUAUAGCCUAUAUAUAUAUUAUAUAUAUAUAGUAUAUAUAUAUAUAUAUAUAUAUAUAUAUAUAUAUAUAUAUAUAUAUAUAGCCUAUAUAUAUAUAUAUAUAUAUAUAUAUAUAUAUAUAUAUAUAUAUGUGUGUGUAUAUAUAUAUAUAUAUAUAUUUUUUAUAUGUGUGUGUGUGUGUGUGUGAGUAUGUAUGCAGUAAUCUCUCAUCAUAUCGCGGUUUAUCAGUUAAGUUUACAUCGAUUCCUCCAUAUUAUUUUCCAUUUAUAAUAAAAGGAUCUUUUCGGUUUGAACGGCAGUUUUUUCUAGCGGUGUCAUAUGAAAUUGCCACCCAUAAUUAUGAUCCUAGUAUCGAUCUAUUGCAUUUCAAUCUGUUUUAGGGUUAGGGGUGGGGGAAGGGUAUCUUUUUUUUCUUCACAAAUGUAAAUAAACAAACCCAAUCUGUUUCGGAUCUUUUCCUUUUGAACGGCAGUUUUCAACACAAUUUCUAGUUAACUAAACACUUUUAAACUUCGUAUACUGGUAGAAUGUGUUUAAAAUAAAACAUUUUUUCUCUUGGCUUUAUUGAGAAAAUUGUAAUUUGUAAGUUUAACGUAGUUUAAUUUGUAACGAACUUAGUGUUUUUCCUCGUGCACUUUUGGGGUGCACAAAGCAAUCACUAGCCGUUGCUUUAAUAAUCCAGAAUUCUACCAGUCAGAAACAACAAGACGCAGACGUAAAAUAUAAAAAUACUUUAUUCUCUUAUGGUGAGUGAUCAGUGGUAUAUCUGAUGUCCUUGGUUCUGGGCGCGCAAAGCUGAAAGUUAAUGGAUUGUAAUAUUUACAAUGUUCAGCCGCUAAAAACAGAACGGGUUAAAGAUGGCGUCCGGAACAGGGAAGAUGAAUGUGGUCGGCAACAAUUUGGUGAAAACCUUCGGCCGACUGCUAUCAGAGCUGGACAGCGAGAAAAAAUAUACGUCCGUCUCCUUCGGUCGCUGCCGUCCCAAGUCAUUGGCUGCUGCUGCCAGCGGUCAAACGUUCUACGACCCCCUUGCCUCGCUAACUGCUACGUAGGCAAUAGGGUUCUUCUUCCGGUGCUUCGCGCAUCCGCGAGAGGGCCCUUCCUCUCUCUUGGUGAAGGCACCAACACCACACGCGCGAAAUAGAAAAUGGACGGUGCGUGCGCGCGCACCGUUAUAGGAUCACUACAAAUUUUUCGAAUUUUAACCAAUCCUAUGGCCUCUAUUGAGCUAAAAUCAUUUGCUGCGUCUAAAACUGAGACAACAUCCUGUCACUAACCCUAACUCUAACCCUAACCCUCACCCUAACCUUAGCCCUAAAUUUUAGCCUUUCAUUUUUUUUUCUUAAUUGUUAAAUUGAUUUAAUUGUUACGCGUGUCUAAAAUUAUUCGUUUUGUUUUUGUUUUGAGUUUUUGCUUUCGUUUUUUUCUUAAUUGUUAUCCUUAAAUUAAUUUAACAAUUAAGAAAAAAAAAACCAAAGGCUAAAAUGUUUUAUUUCGACACAUUCUACCAGUAUACGAACUUUAAAAGUGUUUAGUUAACUAGAUAUUGUGUUGAAAACUGCCGUUCAAAAGGAAAAGAUCCAAACACUGACUUCAGAAUUCAUGUAGACAUUGGGGACUUUUAGCAUAUUUCUAUGUGGUCCCUAUAACUGAAGUUCGUUCAUAUACAUAUUCGACAACUUUAUCAAAUAAACCAAAGCGUCAAGUCCUAUUUUAUAGUUGUAAAAGAAGUAGAAAAACAUGAAAAUAUGUUCUGUAAUAUUUUCAUUAUUGAAUAAUUUCGAAAUAUGUUGAAUCCUGCCACGUCCUCAAAUACUAACAUAUUUUUGCCAUCUAAUCAUUUAUUAAUUGACAGAUAUUGUUGCUAAAGUCCACCGCUGCAGCAUAAAUAAAUAUAGUCACAACAGGCCUUUGUGCGCGAAAUCUUCUGUACUUGCCUAGUAACAGAUUUAAUAUUAGUGGCGACAUGAAAAACCAGAGAUGGUUGUAAUCAAAAUGGGUUAACCCGGGGUUUAAACGAACAAAGAUAAAAAAAUUUUUUUUUUCAAAAUGGAAAAUAAGUGGGUUGAGUUCUCAUUGUAUAUCAAAAUAUACCUUAUUUUCUUUUUUAAAAAAGUGGAUCUUUUCGGUUUGAACGACAGUUUUUUCUAGCGAUGUCAUAUGAAAUUGUCACCAUAACUAUGAUCCUAGUAUCGAUCUAUUGCAUUUCAAUCUGUUUUAGGGUUAGGGGUGGAGGUAAGGGUAUCUUUUUUUUCUUCACAAAUAUAAACAAACCCAAUCUGUUUCGGAUCUUUUCCUUUUGAACGGCAGUUUUCAACACAAUUUCUAGUUAACUAAACACUUUUAAACUUCGUAUACUGGUCGAAUGUGUUUAUAAAACAUCUUUUUCUCUUGGCUUUCUUGAGAAAAUUGUAAUUUGUAAGUUUAACGUAGUUUAAUUUUUCGAAUUUUAACCAAUCCUAUGGCCUCUAUUGAGCUAAAAUCAUUUUUUUUUUUUGUAUAUUUUGCAGAUAUUUCCGGCAUAUCGAAUUGGAAAACAGAGAAUGAUGUUAGAAUGGAGAGAACUUUAUUAUAAUUUUUUCCAGGACUCUUGAGAUAUUUUACCCUUUUCUAUUUUCUUACCAAUUUUCAAUGCUGAUCUCUUUCUUGGUACCAGGGUCCUCAACAUGAAGCCGAUUUAUAAACGGAUCAGUAUGUUCAUAAUUCUGUUCUUUUUCUGUGCUGUUGCCUAUUAUUUUGGCUACACAUCUGUUCUAACAAAAGACGGUUCCAGGAAUUUGCACUUACCUGACUCCGUUCUUAAAGCAUUAACUUCAAAUUGGCAAAAACUUUCGCAGUCGAAAUUGGUGAAACCUAACGCCACGGCAUCAAAGACAAUGGCUACCUCAACUAGUGAAAUAGUAAAAGCCAUAAAAACUGCAGCGUUAUCAAAACAAAUUAAAAAUUCUUGUAAAAACUGCGUUCCAAACAACAUUCCAAUUAUUGUAGAGAACCGAGAUAUUUGCAAACGCCACAAGGAUCCGUCAAUUCAGUUGGAUUUGUUUGUUAUAAUUUUCACUCAGUUCAAAUUGAAAAAGCAACGGGACACCAUUCGCAACACUUGGCUGAAUCACUCAAGAAAUAACACUUCGAACGUUCGUUAUGCAUUUGCGUUCGGUCGGCUUCCCACCGACGCAGAAGACACAAUGUUGUCGAAAGAAGCAAACAUAUACAAAGACAUCGUUCAGGCGGAUUUCAAGGACAGUUACCGGAAUUUGACCUUUAAAACAAUAACAAUGCUUGGUUGGGUGAGCAGACAUUGCCCUCACGUGAAACACGUGAUGAAAACAGACGAUGACAUGUGGGUUAACAUACCGAGAAUAAUUGAAACAUUCAAAGAGCAACCCCUACAUAAGACUGUUGCUGGCUGCUGUCCUUUGUCGGCGGGCCCUAUACGUUCUAAAGAGUCCAAAUGGUACGUUUCCUAUGAAGAAUACUCCAGAGACUCAUAUCCUGGCUUCUGUUCAGGAACUGGGUACGUGAUGGAUUUAUAUACUGCCACUAACAUUCACAAUGUCUCAGUAUACGUGCCUUUUCUCUAUUUAGAAGAUGUGUACAUAUCUUUGUGUAUAGAGUAUCUGGGAAACGGUUUUCAUUUACAGCCAAUUCAUGGGUUUUAUAAUUCUAGAUACAAUACAAACAAUUUGUGUGAUUUCCGUACGUCGGUAUUAACCAGUCAUUAUAUGUCCAUAAAUGCAAUACAAGACAUAUGGAAUGCUAAAUGUAAGAGAUAGAGAGAGUUGUGUGUGUGUGUGUGUGUGUGUUUGGAGAGGUCUUGCAUUGGUUUUUUUUUUUAAAUUGGAAUCUAGGACAUUGUGAUUUUAAUUUCAGACAAAGAAUCGGACAGGUACAGUAUAAACGAAAUCGUUUCAUUUCUUUAAUCAGAUAUUCUCAUUAUUUCUCAAAUUAUCUCAAACAUGAAAUUGUUUGAAAUUCUGUGAUUAUUAUUUACCAGACACAAAAGAGAAAAAGAAAAAAAACAAAAAACAAUAAUAGAAACGCCGAAAGUAACCGUGGGCGCAAACUGAUGGUAAAUUUCUGACAACGUUCGUGGUGAGAACACUAGCACCAUGACCCCUCUCGAAUAAAAAAAUAAAAGAGGGAUUGUUUAAAACGUGUUUUGCAUAAAAGGGUCGUGAGUGGUUAACGUCUAGCUAUCAUCUUUCUCUCGAAAAAUGUUAAUCCCCGCUUAAUUAAAUUCGUACGCAUGUCUGGAUGUAUGUACAUGCGUAUUGCUGUGAUCUGCUGCCAUAGAGGGUGGUAAGUGAAAAGUGAUAGAAGAAAUUAGGUCUCUUGUAAUUGCAAAUAUAGGUCAUGAAAUAAUCCUUUCCACUUUAGGCACAAGGCCUGAAAUUUUGGGAGAAGGGGAUAAGUCGAUUACAUCGACCCCAGUGUUUAACUGGUACUUAAUUUUAUCGACCCCGAAAGGAUGAAAGGGAAAGUCGACCUCGGCGGAAUUUGAACUCGGAAGGUAGCGACGGACGAAAUACUGCUAAGCCCGGACCGGACCGGGAAUUGAACUUGCUACCUCAUGAUUGUGAGCCCCAACGCUCUAACCACUGAGCCAUGCAUCUUCAUCUUAUUAAUAAUACAUAUAGGCGCAGGAGUGGCUGUGUGGUAAGUAGCUUGCUAACCAACCACAUGGUUCCGGGUUCAGUCCCACUGCGUGGCAUCUUGGGUAAGUGUCUUCUGCUAUAGCCCCAGGCCGACCAAUGCCUUGUGAGUGGAUUUGGUAGACGUAAACUGAAAGAA